GGGGCUGUUUUGGUUUUGACAGCAUCUGACAUUGGGAGGUAAGCACGUCCGGCGUUGGAGGUUUGCCGGUAAAUCUCAAUCUUCGAACAAUUAGUUGGCAACAACUCUUAUGCACUCGCUGCGUAGUCUUAGCCUAAGGCAGACUCCUUAAUCCUGCGGACAAGGUCUGCAGGACGAGUAUCCCGCCGGACUUUAAGCCGGUUAUGGACGGAACACGGGGUAUCAUUCAAACCGGAUGCGGAGACGGACUCCUUUAAACUCUCCCAAGACCUAAAGGAUAAGGCAUGAUUGGCCUGUCCCCCGGCAGGUCAUGCCCGACAACCAAAGAGGGAAUAAACGUGUAGAAAGCUUUCGGAUGCGGUGUUUGGACGGCGGUUCGAGUCCGCCCAGCUCCACU
rnacentral:tmRNA from 1 species